CAGCCUGCAUGGCUGGGGCGCUCCCUGUGGAAAUGUCUCCACAGGUGGCAGAUGGUCCGAGAUCGAAUCAACGCUAAAUAUCAACUGUCUGGAAUUGCUGGUGGGAUCGUUCGCAAUUCGCAGCCUGUCUCCAACCCUGGGAAACUGCUGCAUCCUUCUGCGCAUGGACAAUGUGUCCGCAGUCAGGUAUAUAAAUCACCUAGGUGGCACGAAGUCAAAACAACUGGCGAAUCUAGCGAAGGACUUCUGGCAGUUCUGCCUUCACAACGCGGUGUCGGUCACGGCUGAACACAUCCCGGGCUUGGACAACGAAUGGG